UUGAAGUUCACGAAGUUUUUAUUAUUAAUACUAUGAUACCUGGCUCCGGAUCCAAAUUAAUACCUUCCAUUGUAUCUGAGUGCUUGCUCAUGUUAAAAUAAAACCCUCUCUCGCAGUCCUUAAAAGGAUUUGUGCCAUUUAUAAGUUUUAUUCAGACAUUAUACCGAGGAGAUCAAUUCUGCCGAUUUUAAGCAAUUCAACCCAUUUACUUUAACGAAACAAUUAUUACUGUCGCUAUUUAUCCUUACCGGAGCGUAUACAUCGUUGUGUUCCAAAGGUAAUUUCUUCACUCUAUGAGCUCACAGAAUCCUGUUUUGCCGUUAUUUCCAAGCAAUAGCAGUGUCUUUUCAUACGUUGUCUGAGGGAGAGCUCCUAAAAUCUAUUGAUGUUCAUUCUCUCGCUUGCUGUGGUGCUUUUGUAUUGCAUUCUACUCUGGAGCAGAGAAGAUAAUUCUAUAUGCUAAAGGUUAUACAUAUUUAUUUCCUUUCUUUAACAUUCACUAGCUCCUCC